GUGCAGCAGGCGCGAAACCUUCGCAAUAUGCGCAAGCAUGACGAGGCUACUCCGAGUGCCACCCGCAGAGGGUGGCUUUUCCCAAGUCUACAACGCUUGGGGAAUAAGGGGAGGGCAAGUCUGGUGUCAGCCGCCGCGGUAAUACCAGCUCCUCGAGUGGUCGGGGCGUUUAUUGGGCCUAAAGCAUCCGUAGCCGGCUCUGCAGGUCCUCUGUCAAAUUCAACGGCUCAACCGUUGAACCGCAGGGGAUACCACAGGGCUAGGAGGCGGGAGAGGCGGACGGUACUCCGUGGGUAGGGGUAAAAUCCUCUGAUCCACGGAAGACCACCAGUGGCGAAGGCGGUCCGCCAGAACGCGCUCGACGGUGAGGGAUGAAAGCUGGGGGAGCGAACGGGAUUAGAUAUGAAGUUGAGUUUUUACCAGCUUCACUAGAUACCCGGGUAGUCC
rnacentral:rRNA from 1 species